rnacentral:misc_RNA from 1 species
UGGUUUUGGAGCAGACAAAAGGGUUCCGAUUCCAUAUCCGUUCGUUGAAUAACCGUAGCGAUGGUUCGCGGCGUAAUCCAACCGGAGAAGAAGAGGAGGGCGAAGAUGAAGCGAGAGGGUUGUUAGAAGUAGACGAAGUGACGAGUGAAGCGCGCGGCCUGAAGCUUGAAAGGGAAUAUCGAUGAGGCUGAAUAAGGGGACGAAGAAAGCAAGUGUCUGACGGAAGAGACUGCAUUAUUUCACUCUCUCUGUCUCAGCGACGACGGAAAGGAGAGGAAGAAUGAAACUUAGAUGGCGACGUGAUUAUGAAGCUCAGUUUAGUGUUUCCGGCAUCGGCCGAGCUCCGGUGACGGCGAUUUGAAUCCCGCCAAAACCCUUGGUCGGUGGAGUCUACUGUCUAGAAGAGAUGGGAUCGAGA